UACGGGGGGUGCAAACGUUGCUCGGAAUUAUUGGGCGUAAAGCGCACGUAGGCGGCUCGUUAAGUCGGAUGUGAAAGCCCGGGGCCCAACCCCGGAACUGCACCCGAUACUGGAUGGCUUGAAUCCGGGAGAGGGAUGCAGAAUUCCAGGUGUAGCGGUGAAAUGCGUAGAUAUCUGGAGGAAUACCGGUGGCGAAGGCGGCAUCCUGGACCGGCAUUGACGCUGAGGAGCGAAAGCCAGGGGAGCAAACGGG
rnacentral:rRNA from 1 species